rnacentral:rRNA from 1 species
UACGUAGGUGGCGAGCGUUGUCCGGAAUCACUGGGCGUAAAGGGCGCGUAGGCGGCUUAGCAAGUCGCAUGUGAAGGACCAGGGCUCAACCCUGGGGGGUCAUGCGAAACUGCUGGGCUUGAGUGCAGUAGAGGGAAGCGGAAUUCCUGGUGUAGCGGUAAAAUGCGUAGAGAUCAGGAGGAACACCGGUGGCGAAGGCGGCUUUCUGGGCUGCAACUGACGCUGAGGCGCGAAAGCGUGGGGAGCAAACAGG